rnacentral:rRNA from 1 species
AUGCAGGAUAAAAACAUGCCGCUCAACCUCGUACCUGCUGCUGGAAUGAAGUUCACCACGUACGAAAAGGCAUGGGACUUUUACAACAAUUAUGCAAGAUGUGCAGGGUUUGGUAUACGCAAGAGGGCAAAACACAGGACAAAUGCCUACAUUGUCUGCUCAAGAGAAGGGGUCCACAAGGCUGUGUCAGAUUAUCACCGGGUACGUCAGAAGACAUCAAAAAGGAUUGGCUGCAAUGCAAAGAUUAGAGUUAAAAAAAGGAAGGAUGGCAAAUUUGUGAUAGAAAUGGUUCAACUCAACCACAAUCACAAGAUGCUGGAAAGCCCCGGGAUGCUGUUGCACAUGCGAUUGCACAAAAAAGACGAUCCUUUGAUAGACCAGUUAGUGAAAGACAUGCAACUGGACAACCACACACAUGCUCAGAUGAUGUCGACGCUGUCGCGUAUGACCGGUGGUCUGCAGUACAUGGGACAUACUAGCCGCGACUGGGUAAAUAGGAAACAGAAGUUUGCCAGAGAAGAGUCUGAAGAUGAUGUCAAGAAACUUCUGAAUUUCUUCGAGAAAAUGCAAAAGAUAAACCCAGAGUUCUUCUAUAAUUAUGAUGUUGAUGCAGAUAACCGUGUAAGAAACGUCUUUUGGGCGAACGCAAGUUGCAGAGGAUCGUAUGAAGAUUUUGGAGACUGCGUUACAUUUGACACGACUUAUAAAACUAACAAAUUCCACAUGCCUCUGGGAGUGUUUAUGGGGGUGAACCAUCAUCUACAAUGCACCAUAUUUGCUGUUGCACUCGUGCGAGAUGAAACAAUACCAUCAUUUGAGUGGGUUUUCAAAACCUUUCUGAGGUGUAUGAACAACAAGCCGCCAAUCUGCAUGCUCACAGACCAGUGUUCUCCGAUGAAGGCAGCAUUAAAAACUAUCCUCCCACAAACUCUGCAUAAGCUGUGUCGGUGGCAUAUCAUGAAGAAGUACAAGGACCACCUCGCCUUGCUGUAUAAGGCGCACGAGAAGCUCAAGGACGAACUCAAUGCAGUGCUGAACCACCCACUAAUGCCGUCAGAAUUUGAACGAGCAUGGAAGAACCUCAUUCAGAGGUACAACUUGCAAGACGACGAA